CCGGGAUGGCGGAAUCGGUAGACGCAGGGGAUUUAAAAUCCCCCGGGGUAAUCCCCGUGUGGGUUCGAGUCCCACUCCCGGCA
rnacentral:tRNA from 1 species